ACCCAUACUCCAUAGGUGGGCCACGCCUACAAGAAAACGUGUCCAGAGAAAAGCGGCCGACGGCCGACCAACCGGCCGACUUUUGGUCGGCGGGCCGUCUGAGACUGCCGGCGGCCGUCCCAGUGCGGGCAGUGCGUCCUUUUCCCUUGUUGGUGUGUUAUAUUCUGCAGAUUUGCUGCUGUUUGCUGAUUUUCAAAUCUCCGACUUUGAGCUGCCCACUGCCCUCUUCGUCGACCUGCCUCCUGCCUGUCAUUUUUGAUUUGCAACUGCUGGAAUUUUUUUCUCUUUUGCGGGCAUGCUCAAAAUUAAAAUCAAUGCAACACUGAAAGAAAAUAUUAAAUUCUAUUUACUAAACCAUAAAAAAUUCAAAUUUAACUUUUAUUUAUUAAAAAUAAUAUAUCAUAAUUUUUUAAAUAGUUAAUUUAUAAUCAUCUCUAAAUAUAUUUUUCUGUUGAAGCAACAAUUACUUUUUCUUUUGGCACUGGGCGCCUUGCUGAGGAAGGUCUAGGAAUCUAUUGUUGCAAAAGUAUAAAUAUCAUAGAGUUUGGUUUAUUUCAUCAUUCGUCCAACAUGAGCCGACCGAAACAAGACCAAUGCAGCUCCUUGCGCCAUCGUUAGCAAGAGAGUCCUGACGGCUGCGAAAGCAGCUAUUGUAAAGGUCAAUGAGCAGGACUUCGACGAUCUGAUUCCGGCCCACCACGCCGGCGGGAGACACAGACGUUUCCCGACAGUGGAACUUCGUGGACCAACAUAAACACAAAACUCAUGGCACGCUUACAACCUUCUAGACGCGUUUGUCGCGGCUCCAUGAAGAUUACCAGUUGGAUGGCCAAACACCUCUCCCUGAAGACCGGAAAAGAGGUGGACGUUGUGAAAUGGCCAUCCCCGAUCAGAGUCCUUGACAUCGCAACACUUCACGGCGGGGACUAUUCGGAGAAGCAGAUGAAGUCCAUGAAGAAGGCCGUUAUCAAGUUGGCUGUUGUCAACACAGACACACGGUCGUUAAAAUACUCAUGCGCGACCAGGGAGCAGUGAAGAUACGGUUUGGCAAAACAAAACCACGACAGGCUGGCUACGUGGAAGAAUCGACUGUGUUGACAAUCUCUAGGCCUGAGGACUCGGACUCUGGAAGCUCCAGCAGUGACACGGACUGACUGAUCUUUAGUCCAAAAUUUCUGCGUUGUUUUUAAAUAUACUACAAACAGCUUUCUU